AAAUGAAUAGACGGGGACCCGCACAAGCAGUGGAUCAUGUGGUUUAAUUCGACAAUAAACGGGGAACCUUACCCAGGCUUGACAUCUAGCGAAUCCUCUGGAAACAGAGGAGUGCCCGCAAGGGAAUGCUAAGACAGGCGCUGCAUGGUUGUCGUCAGCUCGUGCCUUGAGGUGUUCGGUUAAGUCCGUUAACGAGCGCAACCCAUGCCAUUAGUUACUAUGUCUAAUGGGACUGCCUAGGUUAACUAGGAGGAAGAUGUGGAUGACGUCAAAUCAGCAUGGCCCUUAUGCCUGGGGCCACACACAUGAUACAAUGGUCGGUACAAAGUGUAGCAAUAUGGUAACAUUGAGCCAAUCACAAAAGCCGAUCUAAGUCCGGAUUGAGGGCUGCAACUCGCCCUUAUGAAGUUGGAAUUGCUAGUAAUCGUGAAUCAGAUAUGUCACGGUGAAUAUGUUCCCGGGUCUUGUACACACCGCCCGU
rnacentral:rRNA from 1 species